rnacentral:rRNA from 1 species
CCUACGGGAGGCAGCAGUGAGGAAUAUUGGUCAAUGGUCGGGAGACUGAACCAGCCAAGCCGCGUGAGGGAGGAAGGUACAGAGUAUCGUAAACCUCUUUUGUCAGGGAACAAAGACUGGGACGCGUCCCCGGAUGAGUGUACCUGAAGAAAAAGCAUCGGCUAACUCCGUGCCAGCAGCCGCGGUAAUACGGAGGAUGCGAGCGUUAUCCGGAUUUAUUGGGUUUAAGGGGUGCGCAGGCGGUCUGUUAAGUCAGCGGUAAAAGCCGGGGGUUAAACCCCGGCCCGCCGUUGAAACUGGCAGUCUCGAGUUGGAGAGAAGUAUGCGGAAGGCGCGGUGUAGCGGUGAAAUGCAUAGAUAUCGCGCAGAACUCCGAUUGCGAAGGCAGCAUGCCGGCUCCACACUGACGCUGAGGCACGAAAGCGUGGGUAUCGAACAGGAUUAGAUACCCCAGUAGUA